CGGACAGAGAAGCAGGCCCGGGAAUCACAGAGCCUGGAUUUUAGCCUUUGUCCCCUGUAACAACCUGUGUGGCCUCAGGCAAGGAUUUACCCAAGCCUCUUCAUCUGCCGGAUGAACGAGUUCUCAACUGAGUCCCAGAUCUCUUCUGUACCUAGAAACUCCACUGACUGGUAUCUGUGACUGAGGUCUUCCUUUCAAAGCCCACACUGAGGAAGCCUGGCAUGGUUUCUGGGGCUCUCCCUACCUAUUUGGCACCUCCAGCUUUGGGUCCUCACCAGCAAGGCAAUGCCGGGACAGGUGUCAGUGUCUUGGCAGCCUCCAGGUGGCUACCCAGGAAUAGAACUGGGUCUUUUAUGGUCAGGCCGGAAUCACGUGGAGGGCUGGCACCACCCCUUCCCUGCUGGGAAAUGCUUCCCUAGGGCAGGGAGGGGUAAGGCUGAAAACUGCCCAGUGCUCAAAGCCAGUGGCACUAGAGGACUGUGUCUGCAAGGGCGGUUGUGGUGGUACGGUAGAGGUUGGGUGUGGAAGGGUGAUGGGUGGGGGAGGAGAGGGGAGAAGGGGUACAGGGAAUGCUGUUGCCAGUGAGCGCUUAUGUGGCCUGGGCCCCUGGAAUACCUGUCUAUAGCCCUCGGCACCUCCAAGGACCUUGUUUCGUCUCAGGGCCACCUCAUCCUCUGUCCUCAGUUUCCAGUAGGCCACAGAAAUUUCAGCAAGCCAUCGUCUGCAGAGGAACUGAGGCAUCCACACAGGAGAGCAAGUUAGGGGUUGGCGAGGCUGCCCUGCCUCACUCUCCCAGCCUUUGUUCUCUGUGGAUAGGCACACUAGUGUAAGCCCCAGCAGAGGGGCAGAUGAAGUUGUCAGUGCAGGAGAUCAAGGCUUUUCCUUCAUGCCUCUAGCUGUCACUGGUGACCAGCCACAGCUCCACUACCCCUCCUUGCCACUCCCAGGUUCCUGUGAGGAACUGGGACAGCCCUGCCCAGGAGACAGCCUGGCCAGAACUGUGCUAAAGUCAGUGCUGAGGUGGGACAGUCCAGGACUGUACCCAUGAGAACCAUGCCCUGUGCCCUGAUGUCCCCAAGAGCUUUUCCCAUUUCUCUUCAGGAAUUCCUCAAGUUUCACUAAACAAACUUAGGGAAGAGGAGCCUCGAGACAAUUCUCAGAGAGAGACCUCAGAGAGUCCGCCUUGCUGACUUUGCGUUAACAGUUGGAACCCACCCAGAUUGAGCUUGCUCCUCUGGUCUCAGAAGCUCCAAUUCAACCACAAGAUAUCAUCAUUAGCAUCUUCAUUCCACAGAGGAGGGAGCCUACGCAUAGUCAAAUCACAG
rnacentral:sRNA from 1 species